AGGGAUCAUUACUGAGUUUACGCUCUACAACCCUUUGUGAACAUACCUAUAACUGUUGCUUCGGCGGGUAGGGUCUCCGCGACCCUCCCGGCCUCCCGCCUCCGGGCGGGUCGGCGCCCGCCGGAGGAUAACCAAACUCUGAUUUAACGACGUUUCUUCUGAGUGGUACAAGCAAAUAAUCAAAACUUUUAACAACGGAUCUCUUGGUUCUGGCAUCGAUGAAGAACGCAGCGAAAUGCGAUAAGUAAUGUGAAUUGCAGAAUUCAGUGAAUCAUCGAAUCUUUGAACGCACAUUGCGCCCGCCAGCAUUCUGGCGGGCAUGCCUGUUCGAGCGUCAUUUCAACCCUCAAGCUCUGCUUGGUGUUGGGGCCCUACAGCUGAUGUAGGCCCUCAAAGGUAGUGGCGGACCCUCCCGGAGCCUCCUUUGCGUAGUAACUUUACGUCUCGCACUGGGAUCCGGAGGGACUCUUGCCGUAAAACCCCCAAUUUUCCAAAGGUUGACC
rnacentral:rRNA from 1 species